CAGUUAUGGUGCCAAGUUUCAUGUCUCUAGCUCAUUCCAGCUCACAGCAAAUUGAGGGAAGGUAUAAAAAACACAUAACGAUGAAUAGACCACGCCCACACGCACCAAUCAACAUGAAACUUCAUAUUUUGGUUAAUACUUUCCCCCAGAGCAUGUUGAUAGAGUCAAAAUCCAAAAAGUAGAUGUCACUUUAUUGUUUUUCACAUUAUGCAAAUUAGCAAAAAAUCCAUCAUGGCGAACUUUAAUGGUCCAAGAGGAAAUCCAAGGUGACUCAAGUGUCUGUUCAUUUAAAAAAAAAAAUCAAUACACGGGGGUUGAAUACUGCAUGUAAAAGUCACUUAUUACUUUUCCAAACAAUUUAGGUCAGUGGUUUUGACCCGUUUGCAUUUAUGGAGAAUGUACAAAAGCAUUAAAUUGUUAAUGUCAGAAAUGUGCUCAUUAAAUACAUUUGUUACUGCUUAAGUUCAUGUAGAUAAACAUUUGGGGAUAAUGAUGAAAAAUGAUAAUGGAAGUGUCGUCAUUUAAUUGUGAGUGGUGAUGUAAAACUUUUGCGGAGCCAAUUGGAGAGUUUCAUCAAUAGCACGGCUUAAAAACUCCCAAUGAGCGCUCAGCUCGAUCUAUUGGCAAGUCAUUAGAGGGCGCCAUAGAGCUGACAUGCCACCCCCAAGCCCAAGCCCAAACGUAAACUCAAAUUGAAGUAUUUACCAGUUCAAGUCUGGGCGCAAAGUUUUGUGACUUUUUCAGCAUCCUAAAGGCCUCAAACGUGUUUAAAAAAAUCUGCUUCAUUCAAAGCCACUCCACAAGUGACAUUCUUCAGGGCUUUCCAGCUUUCCAGCAUAUCAGCAUUGUGAGUUCAAACCCUGCAUGGAGUUAAUGUACAAAAGUUUCACUUUAAACAGGUUACUCUUCCACACAAAUUUGUAAUGUAUGGAAAUAAUCUUCUCUUAGAUUUUCUCUGAAAUUGAUCACAUCUAUAAAGUUGAUGUGGACAAGAGAUUGCUGGAAGGCUUUGGAAAAGCAGCAGACAAAUUUGUUGGAGAGGCCAUAAGGAGGAGCCUGGGCAAGGAGAUUCUAAUCCAGUACCAGAGGGCACUCAGCCAGGAGGUGAGGAGACACACAAAGGACGUAUGUGCUGCAAUACUCCUGCUCACCUACCUCUUCAAUGAAAAUCCAGACAGGCUCUGUGUAACUGACAAGGUGGUGAAGGCUUCAUCACCUGUGCUGCUGGUGAGCGGGAACCCCUUCAGUGCUGGAGGUGAAAUCUCUCUUCACAUAGAUGGUUAGAUAUGCAGAGAAUACAAGGAAGUCUCUAAUUUGUAUGCAACAGGGAAUGGUUGGUAUUAAGUCAAAUAAUAAAGUUACAAUAGCGGCCAUUAAAAUGUCAAAUUUCUUGCUCUAAAUGACUUUUACCGAUAUUGAUACACAGACAUUUUGUGAGUUGCCUGUGAUUAUUUUGAGACAUUAUAUUGUCAGAGUAUAUGCAAAUAUUUUUAUGGGAACAAGUGCAAAAAAGUGAGCCUCAUAUGAGUCCUCACACACAAGCGCACUUGUUCUGAAUCAAGUCCGUUGUAUUGAAUUGUUGGAUUAAUGGAUUUAUUGAAAUUAUUAAAAGGAGCUCAGCCUAUGACUUAGCUACUGAGAUGUCUAACCCAGGAGUGAGCUGGUUGACGAGCUUAGCUUUAGCUUGAUGUUACUGUACGUUGUGUGUUGCGUUCAGUACAGAAUCUACAGGGCAUUGUUGUCUCUUUAUUUCCUCUGCUGUGCUUAAACUUUUUAACACCACAGCGUUCAAAAACUCUUUGCCCUUCCUGGGUCAAACACCUGACGACAACAGUGACUUUCUACCUUUAAACCUGAGCUCUUGAUAGUAGUCAUAAAAUCAAAGUAGUCAAAAUCAUCAUGGUUGAACUUUUCAACAGUCUGAUAUAUGUAAAUAAAACUAACUCAUUUGACCAUUCGAUGCAACCUUUCUAAAAAAAAAAAAAAUAGGCCUAAGCUACAUCAAAAAUGUGAAAUAUUUGAUUGUAAACAUAGCUACUGUGUGUGUGUGUGUGUGUGUGUGUGUGUGUGUGUGUGUGUGUGUGUGUGUGUGCGUAUGAAGUCAUAGAAGCUGAACGAUCCCAAUACAUAACAAUGGCCUUUUAACCUGACUGGAAUCACGUCUGAAGAAUUGUGAAUUAAAUGUUCAGUUUCACAGCUCUUGCAUAACUGAGAAUCACUGAUAAAGUAAGAACCUAAAUGCUGGCUCAGAGUCAUUACUGCUACUUCUAAUGUUCAUAUUCCAAUGUGCCAUAAAUGUUCUAUCGUAGAAAAGGUUUCAGUCAUAGUCAUCUGGACACUGUUUUCAGAAUCAAGUCUUGAUUCUUUUCUACGAUAGAACACUCCUGGACGAAUGAGGGACUACACCGUCCUGCCAUAAAUGUUGUCUUUCAAUAUGUGAUCCUCCCCUCUACUAGCCACUGACAAAUUUCACCCCUCCAUAUCAGUCUCUGGUCUGAAACUUGUGCAUAUCCCUGGGAAAGUGAGUGAAGGAAGUGAGCAACCUUAACAACCUCCAUGUCCACUCCUCAAGACUCAGAACUGCCAUCUAUAGCCCACUACUAACUCAUUUGUUCUGUAUACACUGAGUUGAGAGUAUUUCAGACAAAAUCCCUGCAUAACAUUGUUGACUACAGCAGUGUUCUGCCUGUCAUGUACAGUGUACAGUAUACUCAUACUGUAAACUUUUGCACAUUCCCAUGUAAAUAUUUUGCACAUU